rnacentral:rRNA from 1 species
UCCGUAGGCGGGCCAUUAAGUCAGGGGUGAAAGUCUGCAGCUCAACUGUAGAAUUGCCUUUGAUACUGGUGGUCUUGAGUUAUGGUGAAGUGGCUGGAAUAUGUAGUGUAGCGGUGAAAUGCAUAGAUAUUACAUAGAACACCGAUUGCGAAGGCAGGUCACUAACCAUAUACUGACGCUGAUGGACGAAAGCGUGGGGAGCGAACAGGAUUAGAUACCCUGGUAGUCC